AUUUGAUAAUCAUUCAUUUGUGAGCGAUUUAUUAAGUUUGUGAAGCUGUAAUAGUGAAAUAUUGUGUAGCUUAUGGUUGUAAAGAAUUCCAGAGGAAGAGCAGUGGAGUUCAGUAUCAUAGGUUUCCAUUUUCUCGUCCGGAAAUUCUGAAAUUAUGGGUGCAAGCAAUCGUAGAGUCAAGUGGUCACCUACUGUGUACAGUACUAUAUGCAGCAGACACUUUACCGAAAGUGAGGCCAGGAGCAUCAUUAAGACCGUUAAAAGAAGAUGCCGUCCCAUCUGUCUUUGAUUUUCCGAAACAUAUGCAGAAAAAGAUUACUGCAAGGUGACAGUUGGUUCGUAAAGAACCUGCUGGUACUCAAGAUGUAAAUCAUGCAGGUGUACAAAUGGAAAAGUCUCCUGAAGCAAUUGCUGAAAAUUCAGGCAAACCUCCCUUCAUCAACAAAAACAAAUGUAAGAAAGAAGAUGAGACGAUUGCAAAUGGCUGUAGGCUUAUGAAACAAAAACAUUUCGACAAUGGCACAGCUGAUCAAUGAACUUCAAAA